UUUUCACUUUUCAGAUCUCCAGCUUCUCUAACAGCUGAGCACCAACCGGCUCGGGGGGGUUUUAUCCUUCCCACCACCAGCAUCUGCACUGCCAGCUGGAAUUUUAUGUCCUCACAGCUUUUUUUUUUUAUUGGCAAGUUUGGGUACCAGGUCCUUAUAAGAAAGACAGAUUCCAUGUGGGAAUCAAUUCCCCAUCCCACAGGACACAGAUCAGCCCCUUCCCAGCACAUGGCAGCCCCAUACUUCCUUAGAAACACCCAAAAUGCCCCAAAAUAUGAAUUUAACUCCGAGCCUGGACCUCUUUCCCAGACCCAGCCUGAGAUCCAAAGCAGCGCCAGCCUCAGGAGAUCCCUGGAAAAGGCUCCAAACUGGAUUCUCCUGCAUCCUGGGAAUGGAGAACCACAGGGAAAUUCAUCUGCUUGGAAACCUGAUGUGUCCCAGUUAUAUUUUUUAUCUUUAUAUUUGCAAACUCCAGGAAUAUAAACAAACAAUUCUGUUUUGUCUUCGAGGUGACCUGACCCACUUUGGGAGCAGCAGCUCCUGCUUUGAAGCCUUCAUGAGGCUCUGCUGUUGGGAUUGGUGCUGGAAAAUCAUGGAAAAUGGGAAAUCCUGCUCUGCUACAAGCUCAGGGCUGGGAUUAAUGGGGAUUUUUUUUCUCUAAAAAAGUGGUGGAGCCAAUCAGAAUGAAAUAAUUUGGCUGUGUAGGCAGAGCAGGAUCAUUCCCAGCUUUAACCACAUUCCCUGAACUUUCUCCUUUUUGCCUGAGUCACCGAGGGCUCGGUUUCACAGCCGGGAUUUUUUGAAACGUCACCACAGCGGGAGGUGAUGCCAGCAAAGAAACUGGGGAAAACUGAGCCCUGAAGAUUCUCCAGGGGGUUAUUCCAGCCCCAAACCAUCCCAAAACGGGAAAAGGCUCCAGUCUCCCUGAGCUGAGGUGUGGAGUCCCGGAAUUUGGCUGCUGGGUUCCUUUCAGCGCUCACAUAACCUGACCUAAUUCCCCCUCCCGGGAGUGCUCGCCGUGUGUAAUUAAAGCUGCUUUGGGAUUAUUUCCUGCACCAAA